rnacentral:rRNA from 1 species
GGAAUAUUGCGCAAUGGAGGAAACUCUGACGCAGUGACGCCGCGUAUAGGAAGAAGGUUUUCGGAUUGUAAACUAUUGUCGUUAGGGAAGAUAAAAGACUGUACCUAAGGAGGAAGCCCCGGCUAACUAUGUGCCAGCAGCCGCGGUAAUACAUAGGGGGCAAGCGUUAUCCGGAAUUAUUGGGUGUAAAGGGUGCGUAGACGGAAGAACAAGUUGGUUGUGAAAUCCCUCGGCUCAACUGAGGAACUGCAACCAAAACUAUUCUCCUUGAGUGUCGGAGAGGAAAGUGGAAUUCCUAGUGUAGCGGUGAAAUGCGUAGAUAUUAGGAGGAACACCAGUGGCGAAGGCGGCCUGCUGGGCUCUAACUGACGCUGAGGCUCGAAAGCGUGGGUAGCA